AUACGUAGGUGACAAGCGUUAUCCGGAUUUACUGGGCGUAAAGGGCGUGUAGGCGGUCUUGCAAGUCAGAAGUGAAAUUCCUGAGCUCAACUCGGGCGCUGCUUCUGAAACUGCAGGACUUGAGUGCUGGAGGGGAUAGCGGAAUUCCUAGUGGAGCGGUAAAAUGCGCAGAUAUUAGGAAGAACACCGGUGGCGAAGGCGGCUAUCUGGACAGUAACUGACGCUGAGGCGCGAAAGCGUGGGGAGCAAACAGGAUUAGAUACCCUGGUAGUCCACGCUGUAAACGAUGAAUACUAGGUGUGGGGGGACUGACCCCUUCCCUGCCGGAGUAAACACAAUAAGUAUUCCACCUGGGGAGUACGGCCGCAAGGUUGAGACUCAAAGGAAUUGACGGGG
rnacentral:rRNA from 1 species